rnacentral:rRNA from 1 species
UUAAGCGUGUAGGCUGGUUUUCCAGGCAAAUCCGGAAAAUCAAGGCUGAGGCGUGAUGACGAGGCACUACGGUGCUGAAGCAACAAAUGCCCUGCUUCCAGGAAAAGCCUCUAAGCAUCAGGUAACAUCAAAUCGUACCCCAAACCGACACAGGUGGUCAGGUAGAGAAUACCAAGGCGCUUGAGAGAACUCGGGUGAAGGAACUAGGCAAAAUGGUGCCGUAACUUCGGGAGAAGGCACGCUGAUAUGUAGGUGAAGCGACUUGCUCGUGGAGCUGAAAUCAGUCGAAGAUACCAGCUGGCUGCAACUGUUUAUUAAAAACACAGCACUGUGCAAACACGAAAGUGGACGUAUACGGUGUGACGCCUGCCCGGUGCCGGAAGGUUAAUUGAUGGGGUCAGCGCAAGCGAAGCUCUUGAUCGAAGCCCCGGUAAACGGCGGCCGUAACUAUAACGGUCCUAAGGUAGCGAAAUUCCUUGUCGGGUAAGUUCCGACCUGCACGAAUGGCGUAAUGAUGGCCAGGCUGUCUCCACCCGAGACUCAGUGAAAUUGAACUCGCUGUGAAGAUGCAGUGUACCCGCGGCAAGACGGAAAGACCCCGUGAACCUUUACUAUAGCUUGACACUGAACAUUGAGCCUUGAUGUGUAGGAUAGGUGGGAGGCUUUGAAGUGUGGACGCCAGUCUGCAUGGAGCCGACCUUGAAAUACCACCCUUUAAUGUUUGAUGUUCUAACGUUGACCCGUAAUCCGGGUUGCGGACAGUGUCUGGUGGGUAGUUUGACUGGGGCGGUCUCCUCCUAAAGAGUAACGGAGGAGCACGAAGGUUGGCUAAUCCUGGUCGGACAUCAGGAGGUUAGUGCAAUGGCAUAAGCCAGCUUGACUGCGAGCGUGACGGCGCGAGCAGGUGCGAAAGCAGGUCAUAGUGAUCCGGUGGUUCUGAAUGGAAGGGCCAUCGCUCAACGGAUAAAAGGUACUCCGGGGAUAACAGGCUGAUACCGCCCAAGAGUUCAUAUCGACGGCGGUGUUUGGCACCUCGAUGUCGGCUCAUCACAUCCUGGGGCUGAAGUAGGUCCCAAGGGUAUGGCUGUUCGCCAUUUAAAGUGGUACGCGAGCUGGGUUUAGAACGUCGUGAGACAGUUCGGUCCCUAUCUGCCGUGGGCGCUGGAGAACUGAGGGGGGCUGCUCCUAGUACGAGAGGACCGGAGUGGACGCAUCACUGGUGUUCGGGUUGUCAUGCCAAUGGCACUGCCCGGUAGCUAAAUGCGGAAGAGAUAAGUGCUGAAAGCAUCUAA